rnacentral:rRNA from 1 species
AUACGUAGGUGACAAGCGUUAUCCGGAUUUACUGGGCGUAAAGGGCGUGUAGGCGGUCUUGCAAGUCAGAAGUGAAAUUCCUGAGCUCAACUCGGGCGCUGCUUCUGAAACUGCAGGACUUGAGUGCUGGAGGGGAUAGCGGAAUUCCUAGUGGAGCGGUAAAAUGCGCAGAUAUUAUGAAGAAAACCGGUGGCGAAGGCGGCUAUUUGGCAAGUAACUUAAGCUGAGGCGCGAAAGCGUGGGCAGCAAACAGGAUUAGAUCCACGGGUAUUCCACGCCGUAAACGAUGAAUUCUAUGUGUAGGGGGUAUCGACUCCCUCUGUGCCGCAGUUAACACAAUAAGUAUUCCGCCUGGUGAGUUCGGCCGCAAGGUUGAAACUCAAAGGAAUUGACGGGG